UACGUAGGGGGCAAGCGUUGUCCGGAUUUAUUGAGCGUAAAGAGCGUGUAGGCGGUUAGGUAGGUCCGUUGUGAAAACUCGAGGCUCAACCUCGAGACGCCGGUGGAAACCAUCAGACUAGAGUCCGGAAGAGGAGAGUGGAAUUCCUGGUGUAGCGGUGAAAUGCGCAGAUAUCAGGAAGAACACCCGUGGCUAAGGCGGCUCUCUAGUACGGUACUGACGCUGAGACGCGAAAGCGUGGGGAGCGAACAGG
rnacentral:rRNA from 1 species